rnacentral:rRNA from 1 species
UCGAACGCGAAAGUCCCCUUCGGGGGACAAGUAGAGUGGCGCCCGGGUGAGUAACACGUAGGUAAUCUACCUUCGGGUGGGGAAUAACGCAGGGAAACUUGCGCUAAUACCGCAUAAUGCAGCGGCACCACAUGGUGACAGUUGUUAAAGCGGGGGAUUUUCGAACCUCGCGCCUGAAGAGGAGCCUGCGGCGGAUUAGCUAGUUGGUAAGGUAACGGCUUACCAAGGCGACGAUCCGUAACCGGCCUGAGAGGGCGGUCGGUCACACUGACACUGACAUACGGGUCAGACUCCUACGGGAGGCAGCAGUCGGGAAUUUUGGGCAAUGGGCGAAAGCCUGACCCAGCAACGCCGCGUGAAGGAUGAAAUCCCUCGGGAUGUAAACUUCGCAAGAAUGGGAAGAAUAGACGAGUACUAAUACUGCUCGUGAUGACGGUACCAUUUGUAAGCUCCGGCUAACUCCGUGCCAGCAGCCGCGGUAAUACGGGGGGAGCAAGCGUUGUUCGGAUUUACUGGGCGUAAAGGGCGCGUAGGCGGCCAGCGCAAGUCAGUUGUGAAAUCUCCGGGCUUAACUCGGAAAGGUCAACUGAUACUGCGCGGCUAGAGUGCAGAAGGGGCAACUGGAAUUCUCGGUGUAGCGGUGAAAUGCGUAGAUAUCGAGAGGAACACCUGCGGCGAAGGCGGGUUGCUGGGCUGACACUGACGCUGAUGCGCGAAAGCCAGGGGAGCGAACGGGAUUAGAUACCCCGGUAGUCCUGGCCUUAACGAUGGAUGCUUG